GAGAUUCGGCUGCUGAUCGAGAAAUGUAACAUGGUCAAAAUGUGGGCUCAGCUCUUGAUUCCCAGGAUAGAAGAUGGGAACAACUUCCGGGUGUCGAUUCAGGAGGAAACAGUUGCAGAGCUAAGAACUGUCGAGAGUGAAGCUGUAUCUUAUCUGGACCAGAUUUCUAGAUAUUAUAUUACAAGAGCCAAAUUGGUUUCUAAAUAGCUAAAUACCCCCAUGUGGAGGACUGUCGCCACACUGUCACAGAGAUCGAUGAGAAAGAGUACAUCAGCCUCCGCCUCAGCAUCUCAGAGCUGAGGAAUCAGUAUGUCACGCUCCAUGACAUGAUCCUGAAAAACAUUGAGAAGAUCAAACGGCCCCGAAGCAGCAAUGAAGAGACACUGUACUGAGGCCAGGGCCAGGUGAGUCUGGCUCAAGACCGACAUUGCCUUGGUUUAUUAUAUGACUAUCGUGAUGGGGAAACUGGCUGGAAAUAGUAAUCACACCUCUCUGUUUUUAGUUAGAGUCUAAUGAAACUCUCAUCUAGUUCUG
rnacentral:lncRNA from 1 species